GCCCACUGAGCUAAAGAAAGCCAUUAUGCAAGCCCGAACAGAUAAGAAGCUAACCCAGUCCCAACUUGCUCAGAUCAUCAAUGAGAAGCCACAAGUGAUUCAAGAGUAUGAGUCUGGCAAAGCAAUCCCGAACCAGCAAAUCCUUUCUAAGCUGGAGAGAGCACUUGGAGCUAAGCUUCGUGGAAAGAAGUGAACAAGUCCUAAAUGAUGUAGUAAGUAACAAGAAUCAAUGCUUUGAUCUAAUACCGUAACUCUGCGAAGAUGAAUCUUUUCUGAUGUAAGAAAGCAAAACCGUUUGAAUGUUUCUUUGGUUGAUGGAAUCACUCGUCUCAUAAACUCAUAUCUAUAGAAAUAACUUGGAAGGUCUUUUCAUCA